UACGGAGGUGGCAAGCGUUGUUCGGAAUUACUGGGCGUAAAGGGCGCGUAGGCGGCCUUCUAAGUCGAACGUGAAAUCCCCGGGCUCAACCCGGGAACUGCGUCCGAUACUGGAAGGCUUGAAUCCGGGAGAGGGAUGUGGAAUUCCAGGUGUAGCGGUGAAAUGCGUAGAUAUCUGGAGGAACACCGGUGGCGAAGGCGGCAUCCUGGACCGACAUUGACGCUGAGGCGCGAAAGCCAGGGGAGCAAACGGG
rnacentral:rRNA from 1 species